GACGAACGCUGGCGGCGUGCUUAACACAUGCAAGUCGAACGAUGAAAGAGAAUCCGAUCUCUUCGGAGUGAAGAAUCUCUGGAUUAGUGGCGGACGGGUGAGUAACGCGUGAGCAAUCUGCCUUACACAAAGGGACAGCCUCGGGAAACCGGGAUUAAUACCAUAUGACAUCUAUUAACCGCAUGGUUUAUAGAUUAAAGAAUUUCGGUGUAAGAUGAGCUCGCGUCCCAUUAAUUAGUUGGUGAGGGUAACGGCCCACCAAGAUAGCGAUGGGUAGCCGAUCUAAGAGGAUGACCGGCCACAUUGGAACUGAGAAACGGUCCAAACUCCUACGGGAGGCAGCAGUGGGGAAUAUUGCACAAUGGGGGAAACCCUGAUGCAGCGACGCCGCGUGAGCGAUGAAGGCUUUCGAGUCGUAAAGCUCUGUCCUAUGGGAAGAUAAUGACGGUACCAUAGAAGAAAGCCCCGGCUAAUUACGUGCCAGCCGCCGCGGUAA
rnacentral:rRNA from 2 species